UAGCACCACAGGAUUCAGCUU
rnacentral:miRNA from 1 species